CCAGACUUGACUUCCUGCGAAGUCCGUCGAAAGGCGGAUGUACCUUUUAGGAACGCAGUGACAGGUGAUGCAUGGCCGUCGUCAGCUCGUGUCGUGAGAUGUAUGGUUAAGUCCAUUAACGAGCGCAACCCUUGUGUUCAGUUGAAUUUUUCUGAACAGACUGCCCUGGUAACAGGGAGGAAGGGGGGGAUGAUGUCAGGUCAGUAUUUCCCUUAUGUCUGGGGCUACAAACACGCUACAAUGGCCGAUACAAAGGGCUGCCAACCCGCGAGGGGGAGCAAAUCUCAUCAAAAUCGGUCUCAGUUCGGAUUGUAGGCUGAAACCCGCCUACAUGAAGCCGGAAUCGCUAGUAACGGUAGGUCAGCAUUACUACCGUGAAUACGUUCC
rnacentral:rRNA from 1 species